rnacentral:rRNA from 1 species
AGGACGAACGCUGGCGGCGUGCUUAACACAUGCAAGUCGAACGGAAAGGCCCGUUUCGGGGGUACUCGAGUGGCGCACGGGUGAGUAACACGUGAAUAAUCUACCUCCGAGUGGGGAAUAACUGAGAGAAAUCUUAGCUAAUACCGCAUAACACUUACGAGUCAAAGCAGCAAUGCGCCUGGAGAGGAGUUCGCGGCAGAUUAGUUAGUUGGCGGGGUAAUGGCCCACCAAGACGAUGAUCUGUA